AACGUAGGACGCAAACGUUAUCCGGAAUUACUGGGCGUAAAGGGCGCGCAGGCGGGUUCGUAAGUGAGGCAUGAAAGCUUCCGGCUAAACCGGGAGAGGCUGUCUGAGACUGCGGACCUAGAGUGCGAUAGAGGGGUGUAGAAUUCCGCGUGUAGUGGUGAAAUGCGUAGAGAUGCGGAGGAAUACCAGAGGCGAAGGCGGCACCCUGGAUCGUAACUGACGCUGAGGCGCGAAAGCAUGGGGAGCGAACGGG
rnacentral:rRNA from 1 species